rnacentral:rRNA from 1 species
CCUACGGGGGGCAGCAGUGAGGAAUAUUGGUCAAUGGACGAGAGUCUGAACCAGCCAAGUAGCGUGAAGGAUGACUGCCCUCUGGGUUGUAAACUUCUUUUAUAUGGGAAUAAAAUGUUCCACGUGUGGGCUUUUGUAUGUACCAUAUGAAUAAGGAUCGGCUAACCCCGUGCCAGCAGCCGCGGUAAUACGGAGGAUCCGAGCGUUAUCCGGAUUUAUUGGGUUUAAAGGGAGCGUAGGUGGAUUGUUAAGUCAGUUGUGAAAGUUUGCGGCUCAACCGUAAAAUUGCAGUUGAAACUGGCAGUCUUGAGUACAGUAGAGGUGGGCGGAAUUCGUGGUGUAGCGGUGAAAUGCUUAGAUAUCACGAAGAACUCCGAUUGCGAAGGCAGCUCACUGGACUGCAACUGACACUGAGGCUCGAAAGUGUGGGUAUCAAACAGGAUUAGAUACCCGUGUAGUC